UACGUAGGGUCCGAGCGUUGUCCGGAAUUACUGGGCGUAAAGAGCUCGUAGGUGGUUUGUCGCGUUGUUCGUGAAAACUCACAGCUCAACUGUGGGCGUGCGGGCGAUACGGGCAGACUUGAGUACUGCAGGGGAGACUGGAAUUCCUGGUGUAGCGGUGGAAUGCGCAGAUAUCACGAGGAACACCGGAGGUGUAGACGGCCAACUGGACAGGUACUGACGCUGAGGCACGAAAGCGUGGGGAGCGAACAGG
rnacentral:rRNA from 1 species